rnacentral:misc_RNA from 1 species
CUGGGAAUGGGGUUGGAUCCCUCCUUACCUUAAGAACCUGCCUGUUGUAGUGCUCACACAGAUUGUCUGAUGAAAAGUAAAUAGCAAGGCGUCUUGCGAUUGAGACUUCAGUGUCCCCUUCGUCUAGAGGCCCAGGACACCGCCCUUUCACGGCGGUAACAGGGGUUCGAAUCCCCUAGGGGACGCCACUUGCUGGUUCGUGAGUGAAAGUCACCUGCCUUAAUAUCUCAAAACUCAUCUUCGGGUGACGUUUGAGAUAUUUGCUCUUUAAAAAUCUGGAUCAAGCUGAAAAUUGAAACGACACACAUGUUAUGUGUGUUCGAGUCUCUCAAAUUUUCGCAAUUUGAUGGUGAAUCGAAAGAAACAUCUUCGGGUUGUGAGGUUAAGCGACUAAGCGUACACGGUGGAAGCCUUGGCA